CGCAGCCGCGGUAAUUCCAGCUCCAAUAGCGUAUAUUAAAGUUGUUGCAGUUAAAAAGCUCGUAGUUGAAUUUCGGGACUAAUAUGUCGGUCGUACUUUGUACGUACUAGCAUUAUUGGUUUCUCCCUUCUGACGAACCACGAUGUCAUUAAUUUGGUGUCGUGGUAAAUCAGGACUGUUACUUUGAAAAAAUUAGAGUGUUUAAAGCAAGCUCGCGCUUGAAUACAUUAGCAUGGAAUAAUGAAAUAGGACGUUUGAUUCUAUUUUGUUGGUUUCUAGGAUCGACGUAAUGAUUAAUAGGGAUAGUUGGGGGCAUUAGUAUUCAAUUGUCAGAGGUGAAAUUCUUGGAUUUAUUGAAGACUAACUACUGCGAAAGCAUUUGCCAAGGAUGUUUUCAUUAAUCAAGAACGAAAGUUAGGGGAUCGAAGACGAUCAGAUACCGUCGUAGUCUUAACCAUAAACU
rnacentral:rRNA from 1 species